AUAGCCAAGAAAGAGGAAGGAUGAGAGCUUUGUAAUAGUCUCUCCUCCCUGGUAGGUCUGUCCUUUUCAUGGGUGGCAUUAUCUUCAAGGUUUUCAUACUUUCCUAAAAAAUUGAAAUUAUGCUGCACUCAUUCCAUCGCUUAAUGACCUGGUCCACCUUUACCACCUGGACCCUGAGGUCUGUGUUCUUAUUCUAUAUACUUUUGUCUUGUAAACUUAGGGCAUGAUUUCAUGAUAACUACUGCUUGAUUUUAUCACGAAAACUGUUUAUAUCCCUUCACCUGCAACAUUUAUUAAUUUAUUAUGCUUGAACUUGUUUAUUUUUUAUUGCUUGUUGUUUUCCUGGACAUAGGUUGCUUUCUUGAUAUAUCGCCCUGUGAUGAGACUUCUCAAGUCUCAGAGGAGUCCUGAUGUUUGCUGGCCAUUGAAUAGAUAAUCUUGGAAAGUAUAACAUCUUGAUUCUUGCAUGCAUGAAAACAAAACGGGUCUUUCAAAAUAUCUUACCAUUCUUAUCUGUGAGCAAUACUUUGGUUGAUCAUAUAUACUUAAUGCCAUCACAUUUCUAUGGACAAUUGAUUUUUAAUCUGUAGGGUAGUCAAGCUUAUAUACUGGACGACAUUAUCGACCAUGUUAAAUAUUUGCAGCUUUAAUUAAAGGAACUAAGUGGAAGUAGACUACAAGCUGAAUCAACUGCUAUACCACUGGUUUUCCAUGAGGUAUAUGUCUUGUCCUUAACCUUAGAAGAUAAUAAUGUACACAAAAUCAUUAUGAAUUCAUGUGCUAGUAUGGAGAAUAAUAUAAGGCAAAUAAUGGAGAUGCAUGUUUUGAAGCAAGCAAGGUAAAUGAAUCGUCCCCCACACUAGUCAUGCUCUGAUCUUCUUUAAUGGAAUGAAUUCCGAUCCCUUUUAUUUCCCUCUUGCUCCAUUGAAAAGGACUAUCAUUGAAGGGGCUCCACCUCCACACUUAGCUUUAAUUUGUUUCUUGAAAAAUAGGAGCAGAGGGUGUUGUUGCUUUCUUAUAAUUACCACUUGCUUUGUACCUAGGGUCACUAGUGGAUCUACAUUAUCACAAGGAUAUGCUAUUCACUAGUUUGAUUUGAUAAUAGUUUUAUUUUUUCUAAAAGAAUCCAAGAUUGUAUAAAAAUGAAUGUGAUUUUGAUCUUACAACACUGGAUU